rnacentral:rRNA from 1 species
AUUGAACGCUGGCGGCAUGCCUUACACAUGCAAGUCGAGCGGCAGCGCGGGGGCAACCCUGGCGGCGAGCGGCGGACGGGUGAGUAAUACAUCGGAACGUGUCCUUUCGUGGGGGAUAACCAGUCGAAAGACUGGCUAAUACCGCAUGAGAUCUCACGAUGAAAGCGGGGGACCGCAAGGCCUCGCGCGAUUGGAGCGGCCGAUGUCGGAUUAGCUAGUUGGAGGGGUAAGAGCCCACCAAGGCGACGAUCCGUAGCUGGUUUGAGAGAACGACCAGCCACACUGGGACUGAGACACGGCCCAGACUCCUACGGGAGGCAGCAGUGGGGAAUUUUGGACAAUGGGGGCAACCCUGAUCCAGCCGUGCCGCGUGUGUGAAGAAGGCCUUCGGGUUGUAAAGCACUUUCGGCCGGAACGAAAUCGCGCGGAUUAAUAACCCGCGUGGAUGACGGUACCGGAAGAAGAAGCACCGGCUAACUACGUGCCAGCAGCCGCCGUAA